rfam:Populus trichocarpa scaffold_1_contig_487, whole genome shotgun sequence.
UAAUUUGUCUAGGACAGAUUUUCAUUUAGUUAUGGUAGUGAUCCAUAUCUGAUUGUUUUGAAUAAAAACUACUGUUUGAACAAUAAUUUUUUAAGAU